rnacentral:rRNA from 1 species
GACGAACGCUGGCGGCGUGCUUAACACAUGCAAGUCGAACGAAGUGGCGAACGGGUGAGUAACGCGUAAUCAACCUGCCCUUCAGAGGGGUCCAACAGUUGGAAACGACUGCUCAUACCGCAUACUGAAGGAGGGGAUUGCGUCUGAUUAGCUAGUUGGAGGGGUAACGGCCCACCAAGGCGAUGAUCAGUAGCCGGGCUGGGAGGAUGAACGGCCACAUUGGGACCGAGAAAAGGCCCAGACCCCUACGGGAGGCAGCAGUGGGGAAACUUCCGCAAUGGAGGAAAGGCUGACGGAGCAACGCCGCGUGAGGGAUGACGGGCUUCGGGUUGUAAAGCUCUGUUAAUCGGGACGCGGUACCGGAAUAGAAAGCAACGGCUAACUACGUGCCAGCAGCCGCGGUAAUUC